rnacentral:rRNA from 1 species
AGGAUGAACGCUAGCUACAGGCUUANACAUGCAAGUCGCGGGGCAGCAUGAAUUUAGCUUGCUAAAUUUGAUGGCGACCGGCGCACGGGUGAGUAACGCGUAUCCAACCUGCCCACCACUUGGGGAUAACCUUGCGAAAGUAAGACUAAUACCCAAUGACGUCUCUAGAAGACAUCUGAAAGAGAUUAAAGAUUUAUCGGUGAUGGAUGGGGAUGCGUCUGAUUAGCUUGUUGGCGGGGUAACGGCCCACCAAGGCGACGAUCAGUAGGGGUUCUGAGAGGAAGGUCCCCCACAUUGGAACUGAGACACGGUCCAAACUCCUACGGGAGGCAGCAGUGAGGAAUAUUGGUCAAUGGGCGAGAGCCUGAACCAGCCAAGUAGCGUGCAGGAAGACGGCCCUAUGGGUUGUAAACUGCUUUUAUAGGGGAAUAAAGUGAGCCACGUGUGGUUUUUUGCAUGUACCCUAUGAAUAAGGACCGGCUAAUUCCGUG